rnacentral:rRNA from 1 species
CGCGUAGGCGGCUUCUUAAGUCGGGGGUGAAAUCCUGUGGCUCAACCACAGGCCUGCCCCCGAAACUAAGGAGCUUGAGGCCGUGAGAGGAAAGCGGAAUUCCUGGUGUAUCGGUGAAAUGAGUUGAUAUCAGGAGGAACACCGGUGGCGAAGGCGGCUUUCUGGUACGGUUCUGACGCUGAGGUGCGAAAGCAUGGGGAGCAAACG